GGAGGAUGCGAGCGUUAUCCGGAUUUAUUGGGUUUAAAGGGUGCGUAGGCGGUAUGGUAAGUCAGCGGUAAAAGCCCGGGGCUCAACCCCGGCGAGCCGUUGAAACUGCCGUGCUAGAGAGGAAGAGAAGUGGGCGGAAUGCGCAGUGUAGCGGUGAAAUGCUUAGAUAUUGCGCAGAACUCCGAUUGCGAAGGCAGCCUACCGGCUUCUGUCUGACGCUGAGGCACGAAAGCGUGGGUAUCGAAC
rnacentral:rRNA from 1 species